GCCUUCAUGGUGCAGUGGGGUCAGCACGCUGGGUGCGUAUUCCAGAGGUCCGGGUUCGAGUCCCGGCGAGGGCA
rnacentral:tRNA from 1 species